rnacentral:rRNA from 1 species
UACGAAGGGGGCUAGCGUUACUCGGAUUUACUGGGCGUAAAGGGCGCGUAGGCGGUCAGCACAAGUCAGUUGUGAAAUCUCCGGGCUUAACUCGGAAAGGUCAACUGAUACUGUGCGACUAGAGUGCAGAAGGGGCAACUGGAAUUCUCGGUGUAGCGGUGAAAUGCGUAGAUAUCGAGAGGAACACCUGCGGCGAAGGCGGGUUGCUGGGCUGACACUGACGCUGAUGCGCGAAAGCCAGGGGAGCGAACGGG